CUUCAGCACCAAUAACGCAAUCACCAAGUUGUGUUUGACACUGAGCAGACAACACUUUACCAAGGAAAGGGUCCAGAAGACAUCAACUCUUGAAAAAUCUAAAGGACUGUGGAGUUAGCUCGUGAAGUACAGCUCCCAUUUUUCAAGGCGCAAUACUCUCAAAGGUAUUGAAGAAAGGAAACUCAUGGAGACCGAGGAUGAGGAUUACUAUGAAUAUCUCAGCAUGACAGCUGAGCAGGACAAGAACAAAC